rnacentral:rRNA from 1 species
AUGGAUACGAACCCACAAAUUCUGUGUUGGAACGUGAGGGGGUUAAACAACCCUGCCAAAAGAAGCGCCGUUAGGGAGUUCAUUGUGUCAGCGAAGGUGAACCUUGUGUGCUUGCAAGAGACCAAGAUUGAUGUGUUUGAUCCGUUUAAUGUAAUGCAAUGCAUUGGGCCAUCUUUUUAUGGCUUUGACUAUGUCCCGGCGAUUGAUACGCGUGGUGGUAUCCUUUUGGGGUGGGAUACAACGGUCUUGGUGGUAGAUAAUAUCAUCAGGGUUACCAAUUCGCUCACCGGGCCGGUUCACAAUAAGGAUGGGUUGGAGUGGUGGAUUACUGUGGUCUAUGGUCCGCAAGUGAUGAAGCCACGAUGCAAUUUCUUCUAG